rnacentral:tRNA from 11 species
AGUCGAGAUGCGGAGUUCGGGUUCGAACCACGGACUUUGUAGUCAAUAAAUUCGCGCUCUAACCACUGAGCCAUCUCGCC